rnacentral:rRNA from 1 species
GGUGACUGCGUACCUUUUGUAUAAUGGGUCAGCGACUUAUAUUCUGUAGCAAGGUUAACCGAAUAGGGGAGCCGUAGGGAAACCGAGUCUUAACCGGGCGUUAAGUUGCAGGGUAUAGACCCGAAACCCGGUGAUCUAGCCAUGGGCAGGUUGAAGGUUGGGUAACACUAACUGGAGGACCGAACCGACUAAUGUUGAAAAAUUAGCGGAUGACCUGUGGCUGGGGGUGAAAGGCCAAUCAAACCGGGAGAUAGCUGGUUCUCCCCGAAAGCUAUUUAGGUAGCGCCUCGUGAAUUCAUCUCCGGGGGUAGAGCACUGUUUCGGCUAGGGGGCCAUCCCGGCUUACCAACCCGAUGCAAACUGCGAAUACCGGAGAAUGUUAUCACGGGAGACACACGGCGGGUGCUAACGUCCGUCGUGAAGAGGGAAACAACCCAGACCGCCAGCUAAGGUCCCAAAGUCAUGGUUAAGUGGGAAACGAUGUGGGAAGGCCCAGACAGCCAGGAUGUUGGCUUAGAAGCAGCCAUCAUUUAAAGAAAGCGUAAUAGCUCACUGGUCGAGUCGGCCUGCGCGGAAGAUGUAACGGGGCUAAACCAUGCACCGAAGCUGCGGCAGCGAACGUAUCACUUAAAGCGAUUCAGCGGGUUACGAUUGACGGAGCGAAGCGACGUCAAAGCGUAUACAAAGUCGAGUCGGUUUAAGGAUACGUUCGUUGGGUAGGGGAGCGUUCUGUAAGCCUGUGAAGGUGGCCUGUGAGGGUUGCUGGAGGUAUCAGAAGUGCGAAUGCUGACAUAAGUAACGAUAAAGCGGGUGAAAAGCCCGCUCGCCGGAAGACCAAGGGUUCCUGUCCAACGUUAAUCGGGGCAGGGUGAGUCGACCCCUAAGGCGAGGCCGAAAGGCGUAGUCGAUGGGAAACGGGUUAAUAUUCCCGUACUUGGUGUUACUGCGAAGGGGGGACGGAGAAGGCUAUGUUGGCCGGGCGACGGUUGUCCCGGUUUAAGCGUGUAGGCUGGUUUUCCAGGCAAAUCCGGAAAAUCAAGGCUGAGGCGUGACGACGAGGCACUACGGUGCUGAAGCAACAAAUGCCCUGCUUCCAGGAAAAGCCUCUAAGCAUCAGGUAACAUCAAAUCGUACCCCAAACCGACACAGGUGGUCAGGUAGAGAAUACCAAGGCGCUUGAGAGAACUCGGGUGAAGGAACUAGGCAAAAUGGUGCCGUAACUUCGGGAGAAGGCACGCUGACAUGUAGGUGAAGUGAUUUACUCAUGGAGCUGAAGUCAGUCGAAGAUACCAGCUGGCUGCAACUGUUUAUUAAAAACACAGCACUGUGCAAACACGAAAGUGGACGUAUACGGUGUGACGCCUGCCCGGUGCCGGAAGGUUAAUUGAUGGGGUCAGCGCAAGCGAAGCUCCUGAUCGAAGCCCCGGUAAACGGCGGCCGUAACUAUAACGGUCCUAAGGUAGCGAAAUUCCUUGUCGGGUAAGUUCCGACCUGCACGAAUGGCGUAAUGAUGGCCAGGCUGUCUCCACCCGAGACUCAGUGAAAUUGAACUCGCUGUGAAGAUGCAGUGUACCCGCGGCAAGACGGAAAGACCCCGUGAACCUUUACUAUAGCUUGACACUGAACAUUGAGCCUUGAUGUGUAGGAUAGGUGGGAGGCUUUGAAGUGUGGACGCCAGUCUGCAUGGAGCCGACCUUGAAAUACCACCCUUUAAUGUUUGAUGUUCUAACGUGG